rnacentral:rRNA from 1 species
GACGUAGGGCGCAAGCGUUGUCCGGAUUUAUUGGGCGUAAAGAGCUCGUAGGCGGCUUGCCACGUCUGCCGUGAAAACCAGCAGCUUAACUGUUGGCUUGCGGUUGAUACGGGUUGGCUGGAGUUCGGUAGGGGAGACUGGAAUUCCUGGUGUAGCGGUGAAAUGCGCAGAUAUCAGGAGGAACACCAAUGGCGAAGGCAGCACUCUGGGACGUGACUGACGCUGAGACGCGAAAGCGUGGGGAGCAAACAGG